CUGGUGAGUAACACGUGGGAAUCUGUCUCUUAGUGUGGGAUAUUCCUGGGAAACCGGGCGCAAUACCACAUGUGUUUCAUAGAAACAAAGAUGGCUUUAUGCUGUCGCUAAGAGGUGAGCCUGCGUACUAUUAGCUAGUUGGUGGGGUAAAGGCCUACCAAGGCGAUGAUGGUUAGCCGACCUGAGAGGGUGAUCGGCCACAUUGGGAUUGAGAUACGGCCCUGACUUC
rnacentral:rRNA from 1 species